rnacentral:rRNA from 1 species
GACGAACGCUGGCGGCGUGCUUAACACAUGCAAGUCGAACGGAAAGGCCCUGCUUGCAGGGUCCUCGAGUGGCGAACGGGUGAGUAACACGUGGGUGAUCUGCCCUGCACUUCGGGAUAAGCCUGGGUAACUGGUUCUAAUACCGGAUAGGAGCCAUAUUUAGUGUGGUUGUUGGCAAGUUUUUUCGGUGUAGGAUGAGCUCGCGGCCUAUCAGCUUGUUGGUGGGGUAAUGGCCUACCAAGGCGGCGACGGGUAGCCGGCCCGGGAGGGUGGACGGCCACAGUGGGACUGAGACGCGGCCCAGACUCCUACGGGAGGGAGCAGUGGGGAAGAGUGCAAAAUGGGCGCAAGCCUGAUGCAGCGACGCCGCGUGGGGGAGGACGGCCUUCGGGUUGGAAACGCCUUUCGCUAGGGACGAAGCUGUUUGUGACGGUACCUAGAGAAGAAGCACCGGCUAACUACGUG